rnacentral:lncRNA from 1 species
ACACAAAAUCAGUGGUAUAAAGAUAGAUAGAAAAAUCUACUUUUUAUCUAGACCAAUGUGACUAGAUGGUGGCAUGUAGUUUUGCAUUGCCGAAUGACGACUAAAUACUCGUCUAUUCACUUGUUAUGUUAAUGAGCACAAAAAAGAAAAAAGGCUGCAAGUGAACACGUGUCGUUUUGAAUUGUGAGUGUUGAACAAAAAUUUAUAAAAAUAUAACAAAAACCAAAACGAAUAUAAAAAAAAUAUGAUAUAAAAAAUAUAAUAUAAAAAAAACCAAAUAUUUAUAUGAAAAUGACUCAGCAACAACCAAAUCAGAUAAGACAAUUUGACUUCAAAGAGAAUGAAAUAAUAUUUUAUGAUUCGCAAAUUCAUUCCGAAAACAACUAUAGCGGCAGCAGCAAUAACAACAACUAUCUCAAAACCAAUAAUAAUACCAACUCCCCAACAGCAAUAGCAAUAACAAAACUUGUGUAAGGUGCAAAUCUUUGGAGGCUAAAAUUGACGAUUUGAACACCAAAUUUGGCAAAAUGCUAGGUGAACAUCAAUGAGUAUAAUAACGCAAUAAAACAAUUAUUAAAGGGGGAUCCUGAAAAGCACUUUGAGGAAAUUAUCUCCAGAUCUAUGUGCAACGAAGUCAAUGUAGGCGGCGUCCAUGGCAAGAUUUGCCUCAAAAAAUAUGCUUCGUUGUAUGAUGCGAUUAUAAGUGGAUUGUCGGCGACGUCAGAAAAGCCCGAUAAACAACUAUCGAAAUGCCUCCACAUUGUUAAAAAAUAGGCUGUAUAGAUUGACCACAGUUAAUAAACUAAAAAUCGGAAAUAACUAAUAUAAUUAAUAAAAACAGAUUUUAAUCAAAAAUAUAAAAA